rnacentral:rRNA from 1 species
AACGAACGCUGGGCGGCAGGCCUAAUACAUGCAAGUCGAGCGCGCCCUUCGGGGUGAGCGGCGGACGGGUGAGUAACGCGUGGGAAUAUGCCCUUCUCUAAGGAAUAGCCUCUGGAAACGGAGAGUAAUACCUUAUACGCCCUACGGAGGAAAGGAGGGGAUCUUUUGACCUUUCGCUAUCAGAUGAGCCUGCGUGAGAUUAGCUAGUUGGUGAGGUAAUGGCUCACCAAGGCGACGAUCUCUAGCUGGUCUGAGAGGAUGAUCAGCCACACUGGAACUGAGACACGGACCAG